CACACACACACACACACACACACACACACACACACACACACACACACGAGAAUAACUGAAUGCAGAACUUUAUAGCUCAUCUUUGUGUGUUCCCAUGGGAACGACCCAAGAAUUAAAUACAGCAAAGGUCUGAAGGGUUUAUUGUACGUAAAACACACCUUCAUUGGUUUUUGCUCUGAUUUUCUAUCAUCUUGAUUUAAAAAAAAAAA